rnacentral:tRNA from 1 species
UGGGGGUUAGCUCAGUUGGUAGAGCAGCGGGUUUUGAUCCCGCGUGUCGCAGGUUCGAUCCCUGCACCCCUUGCCA